UACGAGAGGCCCAAACGUUAUUCGGAAUUACUGGGCUUAAAGAGUCCGUAGGCGGCGCAGAAAGUAGGGUGUGAAAGCCCUCGGCUCAACCGAGGAAUUGCGCUCUAAACUACUGUGCUUGAGGAACCUAGAGGUGAGCGGAACUGGUGGUGGAGCGGUGAAAUGCGUUGAUAUCAUCAGGAACACCGGAGGCGAAGGCGGCUCACUGGGGGUUAUCUGACGCUGAGGGACGAAAGCCAGGGGAGCGAACGGG
rnacentral:rRNA from 1 species